UAAUACGAAGGGGGCUAGCGUUGUUCGGAAUUACUGGGCGUAAAGCGCACGUAGGCGGAUCGAUCAGUUAGGGGUGAAAUCCCGGGGCUCAACCCCGGAACUGCCUCUAAUACUGUCGAUCUCGAGUUCGAGAGAGGUGAGUGGAAUUCCGAGUGUAGAGGUGAAAUUCGUAGAUAUUCGGAGGAACACCAGUGGCGAAGGCGGCUCACUGGCUCGAUACUGACGCUGAGGUGCGAAAGCGUGGGGAGCAAACAGG
rnacentral:rRNA from 1 species